AUCAACGCUGGCGGCGUGCCUCAGACAUGCAAGUCGAACGAUUAAAGCUCUCUUCGGAGAGUGCAUAAAGUGGCGCACGGGUGAGUAACACGUAAGUAAUCUACCUUCGAGUGGGGAAUAACGUCCGGAAACGGACGCUAAUACCGCAUAACGCAGCGGCAUCGCAAGAUGACAGUUGUUAAAGAUUUAUCGCUUGAAGAGGAGCUUGCGGCAGAUAGCUUGUUGGUAAGGUAACGGCUUACCAAGGCUACGAUCUGUAUCCGGUCUAAGAGGACGGUCGGACACACUGACACUGAAUAACGGGUCAGACUCCUACGGGAGGCAGCAGUCGGGAAUUUUGGGCAAUGGGGG
rnacentral:rRNA from 1 species